AAAACCACUAGGUUUGCAAUGAAUAAUUUUGAGAUCCCAAAAACUAUUGUACUUGUUCCAGGAUUACUGAAUCCUUGUUGCUAUUUGAACAGGAAGCAUUUCCUAAAGUGCCCUCCAGGCAUGUUAAACAGGCACUACGAAAAGUUGAUCCAGUGUGAGAUGCAUCUUUAUAUUUUGAGCCGAUAGCUCGAGAUAUUUAUAGACUCACCAUAGUUUGAAAUACAUGCUUCUACUUCUAAAAGUUCAGAAGAAUCCAUAGGUCGUGAAUUUGAUCGAGUGGCUGCUGCUCAAGGAUAUUUGCCCUUUAGCUUCCAAAAUGUCGAAUUAGAAGCUGGCUCACAAUCACCUUCCUUGAGUUUUGGAUAAAAUCCUAUUGGCGUGACUGCUGAAAACGUGUCUAUAGAAGCCUCGUCCUCCAUCUCAGGUACUAUAAAUUGCACUUCUCUAUCGAGAGUAUAACUGACACGACCUGUCCCGAAUCAUCCUAAUAGACCUGACAUGUGUCGUGCGUCGAUGGUAGAUACCAGUUAAGUGCCGGACCCACCUUCAAGGCAACAUUGACUUGUAUUGACUAUGAUAUGCUUUGUAAAAAUUUUGACAGAGUUUUCCCUGAAUUAUAGACUAAAACCACCUGAAAUAUAUAAUCCAAUAUCCCAAACAGAUACAUAUAAUUUAAAAUAGGCUCACAGAAAAUCAACUAUUCAAAUACAACACUGGCAAUCCGACCUUUGCAACAAUUUAUAAACCACAGUACCCAAAAUGCAUAAUAUAUACAAAACAUAGCAGGCCCAAAACAUGGAACUAAUUUCUGACCAAAAGAGACGUCUAUUCCAAAUUAUGAGCUAUUAAACUGAUAAGAUGAGUCAUACAAUACUUGACAAUUUAUAGUUCAACUCGAUAGAUCAACUAGCCCAGUAGUGCUCAACUCAGCUACUAUUUGAUAAGAGAAAUUGUAAAAAAAAAUGUGAGCCUAUAACUCAGUGAGUGGAUAAUUUUGUAAAUAAAAAUACCUUUUCCAUUUAUGCUAAUAUUCUAAAAACUAGUUUAUGAUAAAAAUAUCAUUCACAGUACUUUAAGCUAAAUCUUUAUUCUUUAAAUUGAAAAGCUAAAUUCUGUAUUCUGUAAUCUGAUAAGUUGUACAACACUGAAAAGUUACACCAAAAAAGGUACCUGAAAUAACUAUACUCAUGUAUCGGUUUACACCGAUAGACAUGGCAAAGCUAUUCAAUUCUGUAAUUCUGAAAUUUUGUAAUUCUGAAAUUCUAUAAUUCUGAUAAGUAGAUGUAAAGUUAACGAAUAAUCUGAUAUUCAUGAAAAUCUAUGAAAUAUUGCUAUUGGUCAAUACUAUAAGUUGAAAGUUUUAUUCUGGAAACUAAGUUAACUGAAUUCCAUAAUCUGAAAUCUGAGAAUUGAAUAAAUACUGAAAAAUCACACCAAAAAGAGUACCCAAUGAAUAGCCUUACUCAUGUACAGAGUAAUCUCGAUGUACAAGGCAAAGCCAUUCAAAUCUGAUAAUCUGGUCAUACGUAUGCAGAGCUGCCCUAAAGGCUAAUCACCCUAGUACACUGCCCAAAGCCUAUUUGUGUACGAGAGUGAGUCCCAAAG
rnacentral:lncRNA from 1 species